AGGAAUUUGAUUGUUUUGACGUGUUGCGAGGCUUCACUGAUUCACACCGGGUUUUGAGUUCCGACCCCUCUUUAGCUGAUUUUUGCCAUGGUCUGCGAUGAGGCUAUUAGACCGCUCCCUCUGAUAGUCUGUGAUAAGGAUGUGCAUGUUUGCGUCGGUUACAAGGUUUGUUAUUUGCUUUUCACUAUUUACCCACACACAUACACAUGGCUCAGGGUGUCACAAUGCCCUGAGUGGCUCUAAUAUAUACAGAUGCACAGGGCCACACUCAUACAGUAUCAUAACUUACAGUGUCUUAAUGCUCUUGAUGCUAGUAAAACACAACCACAUUACCGUUCAGGGUGUCGUAACAACCCAAGAUAUUGCUUAGUUAAUAUAAACUCACUCACAAACAUCAUCGUCUACACAGUCAAUACACACAAAACAACCCAAUGAGUGACAUUCUGUGUCCUUGUUGAACACAGAGCUGGUUUAGUUUUUCCAAAGAGAAAUACGUAACCCUGUGUCUUUCCCAGCAUCCCACGGGAGACGUCAGUCCCCCUUCAGACACCUGCUCCUGGGCCUGCUACAAAGGAACCAGAAGGAACGCAUGGACUUUGCUUAGCCUUACUUACUCUCUCACUCAGUUACAUUUACACUGCUAUCUGAAGUCUGACAUGACCUAUUUUUCACUGGAAUGGAAAUGAAAUCAGUGCAUUCAUUGUCAAAGUCUUAUUUCUAUUUAUUUGUGAUCAUCUACCCAUACAGAUUCGUUUUUUCAACUUCAUCCACAAAGAAAUCCUCUCCAGUGCCCAUGCCUUCCUACCCCAGCUCAGGGUCUGCCAGCUCCUCUCGCAGCUCCUCCACCUUCCACCUGGCCUGCUCCCCUCAACAUUCUGAUGCAGAGCUGCAGAGACUCCAGGCCAAGGCUCAGCCCUCCCCUUCCUGGGACACAGCCCUCCACAACUGCAGGAACACCUCCUCCGAGACGGACAACUUUGUCAUUAUGCCUGACCAAUUCCCCAGUUAACACCCUAUCUCACCCUAUCUCUCAUUAGAUGACUUACUGUGUUCUUGAUAUGGGUUUGAUAGUAAUAGUUAUGAUAGUAAUAGACAUAUGUCCCUGACUCCUGUUUUACUCCCUCCAGUUGAGAUCACAAGUGAGAUGGCAGACGGGUCACCCGUCCAGGGCAGCCUGGGGUAUAGUGGGUGAGUUGAGUACAGGAGAAUGAUACACUACAUGGCCAAAAAUAUGUGGACACACCUUCAAAUUUGUGGAUUUGACUAUUUCAGCCACACCCGUUGCUAACAGGUGUAUAAAAUCUAGCACACAGUCAUGUAAUCUCCAUAAACAAACAUUGGGAGUAGAAGUGCUCAGUGACUUUCAAUGUGGCACCGUCAUAGGAUGCCACCUUUCCAGCAAGUAAGUUCGUCAAAUUUCUACCCUGCUAGAGCAUAAUCAAAUCAAAUUUAUUGAUAUAGCCCUUCUUACAUCAGCUGAUAUCUCAAAGUGCUGUACAGAAACCCAGCCUAAAACCCCAAACAGCAAGCAAUGCAGGUGUAGAAGCACGGUGGCUAGGAAAAACUCCCUAGAAAGGCCAAAACUUAGGAAGAAACCUAGAGAGGAACCAGGCUAUGAGGGGUGGCCAGUCCUCUUCUGGCUGUGCCGGGUGGAGAUUAUAACAGAACAUGGCCAAGAUGUUCAUAAAUGACCAGCAUGGUCAGAUAAUAAUAAUCAUAGUAGUUGUCGAGGGUGCAACAAGUCAGCAACUCAAGAGUAAGUGUCAGUUGGCUUUUUCAUAGCCGAUCUUUGAGAGUAUCUCUACCGCUCCUGAUGUCUCUAGAGAGUUGAAAACAGGAGGUCUGGGACAGGUAGCAUGUCCGGUGAACAGGUCAGGGUUCCAUAGCCGCAGGCAGAACAGUUGAAACUGGAGCAGCAGCAUGGCCAGGUGACCUGGGGACAGCAAGGAGUCAUCAUGCCAGGUAGUCCUGAGGCAUGGUCCUAGGGCUCAGGUCCUCCGAGAGAGAGAAAGAAAGAGAGAAAGAGAGAGAGAAUUAGAGAGAGCAUAUUUAAAUUCACACAGGACACCCCGGUAAACUGUAAGCUGUAAGUGCUGUUAUUGUGAAGUGGAAAUGUCUAGGAGCAACAACUGCUCCGCCGCAAAGUGAUAGGCCACACAAGGCUAAAAGAAGGGGAUCGCCGAGUGCUGAAGCGCGUAGUGCGUAAAAAUCGUCUGUCGUUGGUUGCAACACUAACUACUGAGUUCCAAACUGCCUUUGGAAGCAACAUCAGCACAAGAACUGUUCGUCGGGAGCUUCUAUGGUCGAGAAGCCGCACACAAGCCUAGGAUCACCAUGCACAAUACCAAGCGUCGGCUGGAGUGAUAUAAAGCUUGUCGCUAUUGGACUCUGGAGCAGUGGAAGCGCGUUCUCUGGAGUGAUGAAUCACGCUUCACCAACUGGCAGACCGACGGACAAAUCUGGGUUUGGUGGAUGCUGUUUUUCAUUGUUCGGGCUAGGCCCCUUAGUUCCAGUGAAGGGAAAUCUUAACGCUACAGCUACACUGACAUUGUAGACAAUUCUGUGCUUCCAGCUUUGUGGUAACAGUUUGGGGAAGGCCCUUUCCUGUUUCAGCAUGACAAUGCCCCCGUGCACAAAGCGAGGUCCAUGCAGAAAUGGUCUGUCGAGAUCGGUGUGGAAGAACUUAACUGGCCUGCACAGGGCCCUGACCUCAACCCCAUCGAACACCUUUGGGAUGAAUUGGAGUGCUGACUGCGAGCCAGACCUAAUCGCCCAACAUCAGUGCCCAACUUCACUAAUGCUCUUGUGGCUGAAUGGAAGCAAAUCCCCGCAGCAUUGUUCCAACAUCUAGUAGAAUGCCUUCCCAGAAGAGUGGAGACCGUUAUAGCAGCAAAGGGGGGACCGACUCCAUAUUAAUGCCCAUGAUUUUGGAAUGAGAUUUUUGACAAGCAGGUGUCCACAUACUUUUGGGCAUGUACUGUAUGAUUCUGUUGUAUUUAAUACAAGGAAAUGUACAGUCCUACUGUAGAAACCUGUACAAUGGAGAUGGUUAUAAGAAGCCCUUAUGAUAGCAGGUAGACAGACAGCGGGUAAGAUUCCUUUGUCUUGAUGAUACAGGAGCUCUCCGCUGGCUGCUGGGGGUCUUGGGAGUCCAGGCAGGACACUACCCUCCUCUCCACCCCUCUGCCCCCUUAAUCCUUUUAGGUAAGAGCAGGCCUGUCUGAGGGGGAGUAAACCUGGGUUAUUAGAAUUUUCACAGCAUUUGUCCAGCUCACCCUCCUUUAAUCUGACCAGCCUUUAGUAUAAAACACCCACUCUGUGUUACUAAGGGGUAUCAAAUUACAACAUCCUUUCAUG
rnacentral:lncRNA from 8 species